rnacentral:sRNA from 1 species
GCAGCCAAUGACGGCCCCAUGCCCCAGACCCGAGAGCACUUAUUACUGGCCAGACAGGUUGGAGUGGAGCAUGUGGUAGUGUAUGUGAACAAGGCUGACGCUGUCCAGGACUCUGAGAUGGUGGAGCUUGUGGAACUGGAGAUCCGGGAGCUGCUCACCGAGUUUGGUUAUAAAGGGGAGGAGACCCCAGUCAUCGUAGGCUCUGCUCUCUGUGCCCUUGAGGUGAAGGCCGGGUCAGACAGGGCGGCUGCUGCAGAGGGUGGGGCUAGAUGGGCACCCACAGCUCUGCUUUGU